CAGGAAAGAAAAAAGGCAGAAUCUCAAUAGUUCUUUUGGACAGGAAUAGUAUGGCAGAGUCUCAAAUACAUUGGAAUUUUUACUGCACAUUUAGUCUGUCUUUACUUUUAACCUGUUAUUACAAUGGAGUAUAGAUAUCGCUCUCUUUUUUAUGUAAACCACGUCAGUAGUUUUUUUGGACAGGAAUAGUGUGACAGAGUCCCGAAAGCAGUGAAAUUGAUUUUUGCUCCACAUUUUGUCUGGCUUUUCUUUUAACCAGUUAUUACAUUGGUGUAUGAAUAUCUUUUCCCUUCCUUUUCCUAUGCACCUUGUCACAGUUGUCAGGGGUAAAAUCUAUUUUAAUUUUCUUUAUACUCAUCUGCUGCUGCACUGGCCUCUUUCCAGAUUAGUUGCUGUUUUCACUGAUGUUUUAUGCCAAUCUCCGUACGCUGUCCACCUCAAUACCGGCACCAUGCUCCCGGCGUUCAUCUGCUCCAGUUCGGCUCAGCCCCAGACAUCAGCACACGCGGAUAGACGUCCUCGCCCCGAUCUUUGACCCCUCUAAUAAGACUCUCUCCAAUCCCUCCAAACAGCUGCCGCUGCCUCUCACGGAGGACUCCCAGACCAGCUUCAAUAGCUGCCGAUGAAUAGCAGACAGCAAUUGGCAUUGAGACUGCAAUUUCUGGCAUGGCAUUUAGCUCCCAUUUGCUUCAGUUGCGGUCAG